AGAAUAUUGUUGAGGAUUAACAAAUAUUUCUACAUAUUUGAAAAAGGAAAUAUCAUGGAAAGCAAGAUGGAGCAGGCAAGGUGGAUCAGGCUCCCUCUCCACAGUGCAAGAUACCUGGCCAGGACCUUUCAUGUCAGGGGCAGAGGAGUGGGAGAAGGCAGAAGUGGAGCCCGUGAUUCACAGAGCAGCUCUGUAACUGCACAGCAGUUGUUGCCCCAUUCUGCUGGGGUUUGGGGUCUUGGGAGAAGCAGGAGCAACAGCCGGCGCCUCUUCCACUCAGAGCUUUCCAAACUGUGUGGUGUCGUGACACAUUAGUGCGUCGGCUGCAGUGUCUGCAAAGGAGCGCUGCUGUCCUGUUGUAAUGUGCCGAGCAGCAAAGGAGCCCAUUUCGUGGAAUUUUCAGAGUCUGGACUGUUUGGAAGCAGAAGGCUUUAUGAAACCUCAGCUGCUCCGCUGCUCCGUGCACAGACGGGGCAAUGAGAGACAGAUAAGACUCUACAUGACGUGCAGUCAUCUUUAUCUCACGUAUGCAUGCUUCAGCCUCCUCCUACCCAGCCCCAUCUCUCAGGAGCCAUUAGAACAAACACUGCCAGACCUCUCUUAGGGCAAUUUAAUUGUAGGCCACUGCCCUCUGUUCUGAUUGCAAGAUUUCAUCUACCUUAUCUGGGGCACCUUUGCGAUUAUGCUUGUUUGUGUUUCCCUUACCACCAUGGCUGGCGGCUUGCCCAUUUAACACGGUUGCCAGGCUGAGCCAAGCAGA